CCCCUGUUCUUGACUGAUUAGGUCUAUAACAUCAAGCUGAGUUUUCCAAUGGGUUUUUAAAUAACUCUCAACAAUGGAUCUCUAGGCUCUUGCAUCGAUGAAGAACGCAGUGAACUGCGAUAACUGGUGUGAGUUGCAUGGCACUUCUAAUCUAACACCAAGCGAAUCAUCGAGUCUUUGAACGCAAACGGCACCCUUCCAGUCCAUUCCAAAGCGGUGGCGGAGGAUGAAGACAAGGGUAUCUCUGGCUGAGGGUAAUGAGAACUGAUCCAGUGUAACCGUUGGUUAGCUGGGGAUUGGGCUUGCUUGGGGCAGUUGCUCUGGCUUGCCUCAAAAUCAAGCGUUGUGUGGAUUGGACUUUCAAGCAUGCAUUGGGGACGCAGGCUCUGCGCUAUGGCAAGCCCUUGACCGUCAUAGGUGCUUUGAUUGGGGUUUUCAGUCUAGCCAACAAGGCUGGGUUGAAGGACUUUGGGGCUGCAUUGGGGGCGCAAGGGCAGCUCUGUUCGUGGCGUCCGAUGACCGUCAUGAUGCAUGCGUGAUUGGACUUCAACUAGCAAUUUAUCAUUAUCAUCAUCAUUACUAUGGGUUACCUCAGGUCAGAGAAGACUACCCGCUGGACUUAAGCAUAUCACUAAGCGGAGGAAAAGAAACUAACUAGGAUUCCCCCAGUAACUGCGAGUGAAGAGGGAAGAGCUCAUCA
rnacentral:misc_RNA from 1 species